rnacentral:rRNA from 1 species
GACGAACGCUGGCGGCGUGCUUAACACAUGCAAGUCGAACGGAAAGGCCCUGCUUUUGUGGGGUGCUCGAGUGGCGAACGGGUGAGUAACACGUGAGUAACCUGCCCUUGACUUUGGGAUAACUUCAGGAAACUGGGGCUAAUACCGGAUAGGAGCUCCUGCUGCAUGGUGGGGGUUGGAGAGUUUCGGCGGUUGGGGAUGGACUCGCGGCUUAUCAGCUUGUUGGUGGGGUAGUGGCUUACCAAGGCUUUGACGGGUAGCCGGCCUGAGAGGGUGACCGGCCACAUUGGGACUGAGAUACGGCCCAGACUCCUACGGGAGGCAGCAGUGGGGAAUAUUGCACAAUGGGCGGAAGCCUGAUGCAGCAACGCCGCGUGCGGGAUGACGGCCUUCGGGUUGUAAACCGCUUUCGCCUGUGACGAAGCGUGAGUGACGGUAAUGGGUAAAGAAGCACCGGCUAACUACGUGCCAGCAGCCGCGGUGAUACGUAGGGUGCGAGCGUUGUCCGGAUUUAUUGGGCGUAAAGGGCUCGUAGGUGGUUGAUCGCGUCGGAAGUGUAAUCUUGGGGCUUAACCCUGAGCGUGCUUUCGAUACGGGUUGACUUGAGGAAGGUAGGGGAGAAUGGAAUUCCUGGUGGAGCGGUGGAAUGCGCAGAUAUCAGGAGGAACACCAGUGGCGAAGGCGGUUCUCUGGGCCUUUCCUGACGCUGAGGAGCGAAAGCGUGGGGAGCGAACAGGCUUAGAUACCCUGGUAGUCCACGCUGUAAACGGUGGGUACUAGGUGUGGGGUCCAUUCCACGGGUUCCGUGCCGUAGCUAACGCUUUAAGUACCCCGCCUGGGGAGUACGGCCGCAAGGCUAAAACUCAAAGGAAUUGACGGGGCCCCGCACAAGCGGCGGAGCAUGCGGAUUAAUUCGAUGCAACGCGUAGAACCUUACCUGGGUUUGACAUGGAUCGGGAGUGCUCAGAGAUGGGUGUGCCUCUUUUGGGGUCGGUUCACAGGUGGUGCAUGGCUGUCGUCAGCUUGUGUCGUGAGAUGUUGGGUUAAGUCCCGCAACGAGCGCAACCCUUGUUCACUGUUGCCAGCACGUUAUGGUGGGGACUCAGUGGAGACCGCCGGGGUCAACUCGGAGGAAGGUGGGGAUGACGUCAAGUCAUCAUGCCCCUUAUGUCCAGGGCUUCACGCAUGCUACAAUGGCUGGUACAGAGAGUGGCGAGCCUGUGAGGGUGAGCGAAUCUCGGAAAGCCGGUCUCAGUUCGGAUUGGGGUCUGCAACUCGACCUCAUGAAGUCGGAGUCGCUAGUAAUCGCAGAUCAGCAACGCUGCGGUGAAUACGUUCCCGGGGCU